AUUGAACGCUGGCGGCAGGCUUAACACAUGCAAGUCGAGCGGAGCGAGGGUGCUUGCACCUUAGCUUAGCGGCGGACGGGUGAGUAAUGCUUAGGAAUCUGCCUAUUAGUGGGGGACAACAUUCCGAAAGGAAUGCUAAUACCGCAUACGCCCUACGGGGGAAAGCAGGGGAUCUUCGGACCUUGCGAUAAUAGAUGAGCCUAAGUCGGAUUAGCUAGUUGGGGGGGUAAAGGCCUACCAAGGCGACGAUCUGUAGCGGGUCUGAGAGGAUGAUCCGCCAAACUGGGACUGAGACACGGCCCAGACUCCUACGGGAGGUAGCAGUGGGGAAUAUUGGACAAUGGGCGGAAGCCUGAUCCAACCAUGCCGCGUGUGUGAAGAAGGCCUUUUGGUUGUAAAGCACUUUAAGCGAGGAGGAGGCUACUUAGAUUAAUACUCUGGGAUAGUGGACGUUACUCGCAGAAUAAGCACCGGCUAACUCUGUGCCAGCCGCCGCAGUAAUAC
rnacentral:rRNA from 1 species